rnacentral:rRNA from 1 species
UACGAAGGGGGCUAGCGUUGUUCGGAGUUACUGGGCGUAAAGGGCGCGUAGGCGGCGCACCAAGUCAGGCGUGAAAGCCCUGGGCUCAACCCGGGAAUUGCGCUUGAGACUGGUGUGCUUGAGUACGGGAGAGGAUAGUGGAAUUCCCAGUGUAGAGGUGAAAUUCGUAGAUAUUGGAAGAACACCGGUGGCGAAGGCGGCUAUCUGGACCGUAACUGACGCUGAGGCGCGAAAGCGUGGGAGCAA